rnacentral:rRNA from 1 species
AGUGAACGCUGGCGGUAGGCCUAACACAUGCAAGUCGAACGGCAGCACAGUAAGAGCUUGCUCUUACGGGUGGCGAGUGGCGGACGGGUGAGGAAUACAUCGGAAUCUACUUUUUCGUGGGGGAAACGUAGGGAAACUUACGCUAAUACCGCAUACGACCUACGGGUGAAAGCAGGGGAUCUUCGGACCUUGCGCGAUUGAAUGAGCCGAUGUCGGAUUAGCUAGUUGGCGGGGUAAAGGCCCACCCAGGCGACGAUCCGUAGCUGGUCUGAGAGGAUGAUCAGCCACACUGGAACUGAGACACGGUCCAGACUCCUACGGGAGGCAGCAGUGGGGAAUAUUGGACAAUGGGCGCAAGCCUGAUCCAGCCAUACCGCGUGGGUGAAGAAGGCCUUCGGGUUGUAAAGCCCUUUUGUUGGGAAAGAAAAGCAGCAGGUUAAUACCCCGCUGUUCUGACGGUACCCAAAGAAUAAGCACCGGCUAACUUCGUG